rnacentral:rRNA from 1 species
AGUUCGGAUUGCAGCCUGCAACUCGGCUGCAUGAAGCUGGAAUCGCUAGUAAUCGCGGAUCAGAAUGCCGCGGUGAAUACGUUCCCGGGUCUUGUACACACCGCCCGUCACACCAUGGGAGUAGGUAAUGCCCGAAGUCGGUGACCUAACCGGAAGGAAGGAGCCGCCGAAGGCAGGACUUAUAACUGGGGUGAAGUCGUAACAAGGUAUC